GGUUUAGGGUCUGUGUAGGGUUUACUAGGGUUUAGGGUCUGUGUAGGGUUUACUAGGGUUUAGGGUUUACUGGGGUUUAGGGUCUGUGUAGGGUUUACUGGGGUUUAGGGUCUGUGUAGGGUUUACUGGGGUUUAGGGUCUGUGUAGGGUUUACUGGGGUUUAGGGUCUGUGUAGGGUUUACUGGGGUUUAGGCUCUGUGUAGGGUUUAGGGUCUGGGUAGGGUUUACUAGGGUUUAGGGUCUGUGUAGGGUUUACUGGGGUUUAGGGUCUGUGUAGGGUUUACUGGGGUUUGGGUAGUCAUAUACUGAAUGAAAUCUGCACUAUGUAGGCUACGGUAUGCAGGUGUACUGUACGUGAAUCAAUAACAGUGAGGAUUUGUUUGCUUCCACACUGUACAGGGGGCUAACAAUCACAUACUGUAACUAUCCAGGGUUUUAUUUAUUAGGUACCAAAUGGAAGAAAAUCGACUGAAAAAGGGGACUGCCUGGACUUGUCCAUAAAAAUCACUAGUUUAAAUUUGAUUUCACAAUGUUUUACUACAGUGUGCCCUACUGAACAGGACCAAGGGUCAUAGUGCAACUUAAUCAGGAAAAUGUUCACCUACCCCAGUAACGAAAAAGUGACCUUGGAUCUGACUGAGCAUGUAUAAAAAUGCACUGUAACCUCUGUUUUGUGACCUGUUUUUGGAGGAGCUUUGCACACAGCUUUACUACCCAAACACCUCUUAUCAAGAAGACCUUCCCUCAGUCCAGACUUGUUAGCGGUGUGGUUGAAGCCACUGAAACUGGCCUAGCUGCAAAACAAACCCACUUGAAUCCAGCUGGAUGGUUGCUGUAUGAUCCAGUAUGAAUCCAGCUGGAUGGUUGCUGUAUGACCCAGUCUGAAUCCAGCUGGAUGGUUGCGGUAGGAUCCAGUCUCUGUGAACAUCCAGGUAUUUAAAGCAACGACCAUAAGGCUGUGUGUUUUCACAGGUCCCUUUCCCCCAAAGUUGGAUUCGCUGUCCUCUUCGUGGGGGAGGAGCACCACUGUCCCUCUUUCAGUCAAGACUGGGUUUAGUGUUCUAUCAUAAAAUAUGGUUUAUUUUUAUUAUUUUUUGUAUUAAGAAUUUGUACAUGACAUCUUACCUGCCAUUGAAGUUUUGGAUUUGAUUUAGUUUUUUAAAUUCACCUACAUUUGAAAAUAAAGAUGAUUUGAAACAGG
rnacentral:lncRNA from 1 species